rnacentral:lncRNA from 1 species
UGCUAGCAAAGCAAUUCAACAAAUCAUAUUGGAUAUCUAAGAGAUGCACUUGAAAGUUGGAAAACAAAUGAUGAACUUCUAUAGUCCAUUUUUGAAGAUUAAGCGGCUUCAACGCGCAUUCAACGCCACUGUUUUGGAAUGCAGUAGCAACUCAGGGACGAAUAUCACAUAAAAGCGUGAACUUGAAGCUCUAAGGUAGUAGUUAGUUUCUUAAGACAUCAAUGGUUUUCUAUAUACCAUCUCCUUGUGUUUCUAAAUGUGCUUUCAUGCGGAUUUUAUAGAAGUCAAUAUUCUCUAGAAAAUAGAGGGGGUUUGUUGCUACUACCACCAUCUUUGAAAACCGGGUUUGCGCUUGCGGAAGCCAUCUUCUGGAUCUAAGGAGCAGGUUACCAAUAACCCGCUCUUAUGCCAAAUAUAAGUUGAAUAUGCGCCUAAGAGAGGGGUGAAUUAGGUUCUUUGAACACUUUUUCCGGUUUUAUGAAAAUUUGUUCUUUCUUUUCUGGUUUGAUUAUGCAAUGAAACGGUAAAGUGCAUAAAGUCAAGAACACCAAGAUGUAAAGUGGUUUCCCUCACAAUUCGAGAGUACUCCAGUCUCCUUACCACAUGUAAGACAUUUUAUUAUAGUUAGAUUUUAUGGACAAGACAACCUAGUCUUUCUAUACAAACUCUAACAACAAUACCAAGAACAAUUCUCUUGUAUUUUUCACUAAGUCCACUAAGAGAACAAUCCUCUCUCAAUGACUCUCUUGUUUUCAACAAUCCUAG